UACAAAUAUGAGGGGUUUAAUAUUUUACAAAUUAAAAUAAAACCGCAUGUUGCUUUACUUUCUCGUAUAGGUAAUAAAUGUAAUUAAUGGCUAGAUUAUUAAUGUUACUUUGUUACCCUCAAUAGUGAGGAAAUCUUAUAAAAUGGUAACCCUGAUUUUUAUUGUCAUUCAAGUGCUCUUUCUUCGCAUAGGCUUCUGUGAUUUGGCCAAGGGCCACACACAUUGCGAUAACAUUAUACGACAUUGAUUUGACAGCAGCGGAGUGAAGUCUUGCGACUAUGCAAAAUGAUACCCUGUAAUCGUAGCGCAUACAGACAUAGACUGGGCGGGGCACAUAGCUCGUAGAGCUGACAGAAGAGCAGACAGACUGAAGCUGACUUUCCUGGCCGCUGGGGCAGGAAAGUUCUUGAGUGGCGACCACGAGCCGAAAGACGUAGCGUGGGCAGGCCUCCCACUAGGUGGACCGACGAUCUGGUGAAGGUCGCGGGAGGUGCCUGUAUGCGAGCGGUGCAGGAUCGGUCUUCGUGGAAAUCCUUGGGGGAGGCCUUUGUCCAGCAGUGGACGUCUUUUCGGCUGAAACGAACGAACGAACGAUACGUAUUACCACUAUUUACCAGACAUUACUAUUUAUUGCAUACUCGCCGGAUUACACGUAGGAGCACGCGCGUAACAGCUUCGGCCUUGCAUUAUUAUAAGAUCUUGUUCCGCCCUUUUACGAACUUCCUCCGUGAGGAUAUCCCCGCCGAAUUCUAUGAUGAACCUAUCAAAAGUCAUAUUCUGCAAUGUCAACCCACCACAAGGUGGACCGACGACCUGAUAAAGGUAGCGGGAAGGCGCUGGAUGCAGGCCGCUACCAACCGUGCGAUGUGGAAGUCAUUGGGGGAGGCCUAUGUUCAGUAGUGGACGUCCUGUGGCUGAAAUGAUGAUGAUGAUGAAGAAAUGAAUGAAAAUGACAAAUCUUCGCACGUGUAUAAUACCGUGCCAAAGUAAUCAUAUAAUUUUGGCACCUUAAUAACUAUUGCCGUUUUUGUUGUAAAGAUCAUGCAGCGCUACUUGCGGAUAUUAUUGGAAAGAAAACUAUGUGGGCUCUAGAUCUGAAGCCGCUUUAACGAACACGAAGUGCUCAUACAAUGCGGCGUAUUUUCUUCCAGUCUUUAGUCAGGACUUUAGUCGAAUUAAAACCCCGGUUGAACGUGAUAUAGCCGCACUAGAAUACGAUGCUUUUUUGCAUAAUCGCAAGACUUCGUUCCGGUGUCGACCGAAUGUUAUCAUGAUGUAUGUGGCCCAGGGGUUACCGUAGCCGCUAAGGUUUGAAACUUCUUGCUUAAAAUAUUGUAGUCUUUGGCAUAGACUACGAUGGUAGUCAUGGAGAUAGGAGUUUGUUAUCUCGUGUCAGAUGUAAAUGGUGAAAAGAAAACUCAUGAUUCGUGGUAUUUUUAUGUAAUAUGUAGGCUUCAAACAGCGGUACAGCCGUCACAGCAAAGUGUACGACACAUUUUGCGGCGGUAGUAUCAUUGCCCCUUCGAAGUUGGUCUCCGCAGCCCACUGCUUUGACCACAAUAAAAAAUCGGGUUGUUUCACUGAAACUAUAAUAUUAAGCACCAAAGAAGUGGGGGUGUAUUUUGCUGUGGCGGGUACUCUCGUCAGUAAAGAAAGGUACCGACCUCAAGACAAUCCCUCAGGCGCGCAAUGGAGAAGGCUAAAAAACGUUAUCUACCCUUCAGGCUACGAUUUUCCAGAACAUGACGUCGCGGUUGUGACGACAUUACAGCCAUUUGUUUUCAACGCACACAUCGCCCCGAUUCCGUUCGCCAAGCGCUGGCGCGACUACCGGGGGGAAUGUGUGGCUUCAGGCUUUGGACUGAUAAGUCAUAUACCUGAGAUAGAUUCCUCAAAGUUAAUGAUAGCCAAGUUAGAGUUGGUACCAAAUUAUUGGUGUAGCAAGAAAUUAAGCGCCGACAUGAAGACAUUCGUCUGCACUUCAGGAGUGAAAACGGAUGUUGGGAAGGGUGAUUCAGGCGGCCCGUUAGUGUGUGCUGGUACUGGAGAGAAAUCUGAAGGACCGAAUGGCAUUUUGGUAGGCAUUGCUUGUGCGAAUAUCUUAAAAAGGAGUAUCGGCGGCUCCAUCUUCACUAGAACAUCUACUUACACACGUUUUAUAGACAAAAAUGAAGCUAAUAGUUCUCCAUUCAUGUUUUUUUAUUAUUAUUUUAUUAUAUUUGUUCAUUGUUUACAUUA